GACGAACGCUGGCGGCGUGCUUAACACAUGCAAGUCGAACGAAGAGCGACGGAAGCUUGCUUCUAUCAAUCUUAGUGGCGAACGGGUGAGUAACGCGUAAUCAACCUGCCCUUCAGAGGGGGACAACAGCUGGAAACGACUGCUAAUACCGCAUACGAUCUAAUCUCGGCAUCGAGGAUGGAUGAAAGGUGGCCUCUACAUGUAAGCUAUCACUGAAGGAGGGGAUUGCGUCUGAUUAGCUAGUUGGAGGGGUAACGGCCCACCAAGGCGAUGAUCAGUAGCCGGUCUGAGAGGAUGAACGGCCACAUUGGGACUGAGACACGGCCCAGACUCCUACGGGAGGCAGCAGUGGGGAAUCUUCCGCAAUGGACGAAAGUCUGACGGAGCAACGCCGCGUGAGUGAUGACGGCCUUCGGGUUGUAAAGCUCUGUUAAUCGGGACGAAAGGCCUUCUUGCGAAUAGUGAGAAGGAUUGACGGUACCGGAAUAGAAAGCCACGGCUAACUACGUG
rnacentral:rRNA from 1 species